rnacentral:lncRNA from 1 species
GAGCAACUGAAUAUAUUAUACACCGUAGCACGGCCUCCUGGGGGUUGCAAUAUAGAAUCUGUUUACUUUGACUGACACUUUUCAUUUUUCUUUUCUUCCAGACAUUAUUGCUGCAAAUGAUAUCUCUCCUCAAUAUGGAGUUGUUCCUCAAAAAAAUGUUUAGAUAUUUGGAUAAACAUCUUCUGAACAAGUUCUUUUAUGAUGAUGAUGAUGAUGACUUUUGGAAACAAUCCAUCAGUAAUGUAGCAGACGGGCAACACAAUGAGUAAAAGCAAGCAGACCUGAAUUAUAUUAGUACAUCAUCUUACAUGGAGGUGGGAUUUCCAGAACUUUUCUCCAAGCUUGAAGAGAGGAUAGUUCCCUGUUUGUCUCUUUCUGUUGAAGGGGAGAUACACAUAAUAUGCAGUUAUACGAUCCCAUGUCCCACAGCAUCAGCAGCACAUCAAGUAUUGGCAAUGAAGUGCUACUGUGAGAGCUCUUGCAUUUGUGGAGGCUGCAACAAC